UAAAGGUUUGGUCCUAGCCCUUCUAUUAGCCAUCAGUAGGAUUACACAUGCAAGUAUCAGCACCCCGGUGAAGAUGCCCUCUUAAUCACCAACGAUAAAGAGGAGCGGGUAUCAAGCACACUAUACAGUAGCUAAAGACGCCUUGCCUAGCCACACCCCCACGGGAUACAGCAGUGACAAAAAUUAAGCCAUGAACGAAAGUUCGACUAAGCCAUACUAGCCUAUAGGGUUGGUAAAUUUCGUGCCAGCCACCGCGGUCAUACGAUUAACCCAAGUUAAUAGACAUACGGCGUAAAACGUGUUAAGGAAACUACCCACACAAUAAAGUUAAAUCUUGGGCUAUGCUGUAGAAAGCUUUAGCCCAGACAAAAAUAAACCACGAAGGUGACUUUAAACGAUCCGACUACACGAUAGCUAAGACACAAACUGGGAUUAGAUACCCCACUAUGCUUAGCCCUAAACCUAAGCAGCUAAAUAACGAUGCUACUCGCCAGAGUACUACUAGCAACAGCUUAAAACUCAAAGGACUUGGCGGUGCUUUAUAUCCCUCUAGAGGAGCCUGUUCUGUAAUCGAUAAACCCCGAUAAACCUCACCAACUCUUGCUAAUACAGCCUAUAUACCGCCAUCUUCAGCAAACCCUAAAAAGGAAAUAAAGUAAGCAAAAUCAUAAAACAUAAAAACGUUAGGUCAAGGUGUAGCCUAUGAGUUGGAAAGAAAUGGGCUACAUUUUCUAGUAUAGAACAUCGACGAAAAUUUUCGUGAAACCGAAAAUAGAAGGAGGAUUUAGUAGUAAAUUAAGAACAGAGAGCUUAGUUGAAUCAGGCCAUGAAGCACGCACACACCGCCCGUCACCCUCCUCAAGUAUAAAGAUACAAUGCCCAAUCCUAUUAAUAAAUGUACACACACAUGAGAGGAGAUAAGUCGUAACAAGGUAAGCGUACUGGAAGGUGCGCUUG
rnacentral:ncRNA from 1 species